AGGAAAAACCCUUUACCCUUCUAUCUUUGCCCUUCAGAACCAGGAGAGGAAACACAGAACGUAUGUCUAUGUGCUCAUUGUCACGGAAGUGCUGGAAGACUGGGAAGACUCAGUUAACAUUGGAAGGAAGAGGGAAUGGUUUAAAAUAGAGGAUGCCAUCAAAGUGCUGCAGUAUCACAAACCAGUGCAGGCGUCAUAUUUUGAAACGUUGAGGCAAGGCUACUCAGCCAACAAUGGCACCCCGGUUGUGGCCACCACAUACUCAGUUUCUGCUCAGAGCUCAAUGCCAGGCAUCAGAUGACUGAAGACUUCCUGUAAGAGAAAUGGAAAUUGGAAACUAGACUGAAAUGCAGAUCUUCCCUCUCACCCUUGCUCUUUUCACCUCUCCUUACAGGCGCAGGCCUCCUCUUUCAAAUAAGGCAUGAUGGGCAGCAGAGAAAGGGCUUAUUGAUAUUGUUGCUGUUUGGUGUUAAGUGAUGGGGCUUUUUUUUUUUUCUCUUUUUAUUGAGGGGGUGGGGGUUGGGUAUGUAAUUUGUAAGUACUUUUGUGCAUGAUCUGUCUCUCCCUUUUCACACCCCUAAAAGUCUCUGAAGAGGCAAACAGCCUUUCCUCUGCCUUGGAUUCUGAAGUGUUCCUGUUUGUCUCAUCCCAGUCCUGGCCAGAUAUUUUUCUUUGAUUUUUAAUUUUUUUUAUUAAAAGAUACCAAUAUGAGAUGAAAUCUUUCAAGAACUUGUCCUGUAAUGUGUGUUAAGUCCAGUAGGUUGGUCACUUUCACUGCAGGACACAUUUAUCUACACAUUAUAUACUGGGCAUAUAAUAUGUAAAUAAAUGACUUUUAGAAGAGGAAUUUAACCGUUUAAUUUUUCAAGGUUUUUUGUUGUUGUUGUUGUUGUUGUUAUUUUUUUUAAUUUGGGGUGUUUCUCAAGUGGAGAGCCUCACAAUUUACUUUUUUGUUUUUGAUGCUAGUGGCUAGGUAAGUUUCCCUGUCCUCUCUCUUUUCCCCAGUCAUUGACUAUAGUUAUGUAGGGUACAGGAAGAGUUUAUUAGCAACCUUCAUAGUGCUCCCAGGACUCAUGGCCUUCUCUUCUCGAAGCUGUAUUUCCAUGCCAAGAAAGAAACAGGAAGAAACAUAUUUUCUUUUUUAUUACCAAGCCAGGAGCAAAUGGCCUCAGCUCAGAUCUGGAGAAACAAUGAUAGAAAUUGAAUUCCUCCCUACAUGUUGACAGUAGGGAUUUGAACUGGAUUCUUGGGAUUAUUAUCUAAAAAACUGGAGCAUCGAGCACUGUUUCUAUCCUGCUGGUUUGGAAUUUUUUCCGUAAUGCUAUUUAUCGCUGACAACGGGCUCUCUCUUUGUGCGUACAUGCCUUACACCGUGCUGAACUGGAUAUUGUCCUUGUGCUCUGAAGCAUCCAACUGUACUUGGCAAGUGCAGCUGUACAGUCCUGUCCCUGUUCUGGGUAACCAUGUUAAGUUCCUGAAAAGUACACAGGAGGAAAAUUCAGGCGUUUGCUUGUCUUUGUAAUGUUACAGCAUUUGUAAUUGCACCAUGGAGCAUGCUCAGAAAUACUAAAUUUGUCUCCCACGGGGAUGUGGAAGGUCCAUCUUCCACUGAGAAGUGGUAUGGGAGAAUGCUUAAUCAUUUACUAGAACAGCUACGUAAUGCAUUGGCCCACUGCAAACUGUCUUGUUGGUUUUUGAUACAGAUUUGAUGCUGGCUUCAUUUGCCAAUUAUGUUGUUUAGUUGGGAAGUAAGCAGAAAAGGGUCUUGAGACAGGAGGGGGAGGGUGGGGAGGGGGGCAGCACUGAUCAGUCCCUGGCUUGGGACAGGAGUUUGUUGCUAUACUCUUAGUGGCAUCUCCUUUGUCAAAGCGUAGCCAAGAUGUGAAAUUAAAAUUGUAGUUCUCUUUAUUUAAAAAUUCUAAUAAAUACUCAAACUUUGAAAA